rnacentral:rRNA from 1 species
GACGAACGCUGGCGGCGUGCCUAAUACAUGCAAGUUGAGCGCUGAAGGUUGGUACUUGUACCAACUGGAUGAGCAGCGAACGGGUGAGUAACGCGUGGGGAAUCUGCCUUUGAGCGGGGGACAACAUUUGGAGACGAAUGCUAAUACCGCAUAAAAACUUUAAACACAAGUUUUAAGUUUGAAAGAUGCAAUUGCAUCACUCAAAGAUGAUCCCGCGUUGUAUUAGCUAGUUGGUGAGGUAAAGGCUCACCAAGGCGAUGAUACAUAGCCGACCUGAGAGGGUGGUCGGCCGGAUUGGGACUGGGAGAGGGCCCAAGCUCCUACGGGAGGCAGCAGUAGGGAAUCUUCGGGAAUGGACGAAAGUCUGACCGAGCAACGCCGCGUGGGUGAAGAAGGUUUUCGGAUCGUAAAACUCUGUUGGUAGAGAAGAACGUUGGUGAGAGUGGAAAGCUCAUCAAGUGACGGUAACUACCCAGAAAGGGACGGCUAACUACGUG